rnacentral:rRNA from 1 species
GACGAACGCUGGCGGCGUGCUUAACACAUGCAAGUCGAACGGAAAGGCCCUGCUUUUGUGGGGUGCUCGAGUUGCGAACGGGUGAGUAACACGUGAGUAACCUGCCCUUGACUUUGGGAUAACUUCAUGAAACUUGGGCUAAUACCGGAUAGGAGCUCCUGCUGCUUGGUGGGGGUUGGAAAGUUUCGGCGGUUGGGGAUGGACUCGCGGCUUAUCAGCUUGUUGGUGGGGUAGUGGCUUACCAAGGCUUUGACGGGUAGCCGGCCUGAGAGGGUGACCGACCACACAGGGACUGAGAUACGGCCGAGACUCAUACGGGAGGCAGCAGUGGGGAAUAUUGCACAAUGGGCGGAAGACUGAUGCAGCAACGACGCGUGCGGGAUGAAGGCAUUCGGGUUGUAAACCGCGUUCGCCUGUGACGAAGCGUGAGUGACGGUAAUGGGUAAAGAAGCACCGGCUAACUACGUG